GCCGCCUUAGCUCAGUUGGUAGAGCGUCUCACUCGUAAUGAGAAGGUCGCGGGUUCGAUUCCCGCAGGCGGCCCCA
rnacentral:tRNA from 5 species